UACGAAGGGUGCAAGCGUUACUCGGAUUCACUGGGCGUAAAGCGUCCGCAGGCGGUCUAUUAAGUCUGAUGUGAAAGCCCACUGCUCAAAGGUGGAAGUGCAUUGGAUACUGAUAGACUAGAGUACAGGAGAGGUGAGUGGAAUUCCAGGUGUAGAGGUGAAAUUCGUAGAUAUCUGGAGGAACAACGGAGGCGAAGGCGACUCACUGGACUGUUACUGACGCUCAGGGACGAAAGCGUGGGGAGCGAACGGG
rnacentral:rRNA from 1 species